rnacentral:rRNA from 1 species
CCUACGGGAGGCAGCAGUGGGGAAUAUUGGACAAUGGGGGCAACCCUGAUCCAGCCAUGCCGCGUGUGUGAAGAAGGCCCUCGGGUUGUAAAGCACUUUCAGUGAGGAAGAACGCCUGGUGGUUAAUACCCAUCAGGAAAGACAUCACUCACAGAAGAAGCACCGGCUAACUCCGUGCCAGCAGCCGCGGUAAUACGGAGGGUGCGAGCGUUAAUCGGAAUUACUGGGCGUAAAGCGCGCGUAGGUGGCUUGAUAAGCCGGUUGUGAAAGCCCCGGGCUCAACCUGGGAACGGCAUCCGGAACUGUCAAGCUAGAGUGCAGGAGACGAAGGUAGAAUUCCCGGUGUAGCGGUGAAAUGCGUAGAGAUCGGGAGGAAUACCAGUGGCGAAGGCGGCCUUCUGGACUGACACUGACACUGAGGUGCGAAAGCGUGGGUAGCAAACAGGAUUAGAUACCCUGGUAGUC